rnacentral:misc_RNA from 1 species
AAGGAAAUGAAGGGAAAGUUUUCUCUUCUCCUUAGAAUGGGAAACUGCGUUUAAAGCUCUCUCUAUCGAUAGCAUGCCACAGCUCACGCACGCAUUACGUGCAUGAGCCUGACACUCUUAUCAAUCUAAACACUCAUCCCUUUCCAUACUUAUCAUAAAUCCACUUCGAUACUUCCAAAUUAAGUCAAAAAAUCUCAUUGUUCUAAGCCUUCGUUUACCUUUUGCUUUUGGGUAUCAUCUCCGAUCUAUCUAAUCAUUCUCUCUAUUAAUCUCUUUCGAUCGGUGUUGGUGGUGGUUGUAGUGUGGUGAUUUUUGGGGGAUGGCGAUUCCUGCGGCAGUUGUCAUCGUGCCAGUGGGACUUCUCUUCUUCUCUUCUGGCCUUAUUAUUAAUCUCAUUCAGGCUAUCUGCUAUGUCCUUAUUCGGCCAUUGUCGAAAAACACAUACAGAAC